CUGACCUUCGGGGGACGAUACGGCGUCGAGCGGCGGACGGGUGAGUAAUGCCUAGGAAAUUGCCCUGAUGUGGGGGAUAACCAUUGGAAACGAUGGCUAAUACCGCAUAAUGCCUACGGGCCAAAGAGGGGGACCUUCGGGCCUCUCGCGUCAGGAUAUGCCUAGGUGGGAUUAGCUAGUUGGUGAGGUAAUGGCUCACCAAGGCGACGAUCCCUAGCUGGUCUGAGAGGAUGAUCAGCCACACUGGAACUGAGACACGGUCCAGACUCCUACGGGAGGCAGCAGUGGGGAAUAUUGCACAAUGGGCGCAAGCCUGAUGCAGCCAUGCCGCGUGUGUGAAGAAGGCCUUCGGGUUGUAAAGCACUUUCAGUCGUGAGGAAGGUAGUGUAGUUAAUAGCUGCAUUAUUUGACGUUAGCGACAGAAGAAGCACCGGCUAACUCCGUGCCAGCAGCCGCGGUAAUACGGAGGGUGCGAGCGUUAAUCGGAAUUACUGGGCGUAAAGCGCAUGCAGGUGGUUUGUUAAGUCAGAUGUGAAAGCCCGGGGCUCAACCUCGGAAUUGCAUUUGAAACUGGCAGACUAGAGUACUGUAGAGGGGGGUAGAAUUUCAGGUGUAGCGGUGAAAUGCGUAGAGAUCUGAAGGAAUACCGGUGGCGAAGGCGGCCCCCUGGACAGAUACUGACACUCAGAUGCGAAAGCGUGGGGAGCAAACAGGAUUAGAUACCCUGGUAGUCCACGCCGUAAACGAUGUCUACUUGGAGGUUGUGGCCUUGAGCCGUGGCUUUCGGAGCUAACGCGUUAAGUAGACCGCCUGGGGAGUACGGUCGCAAGAUUAAAACUCAAAUGAAUUGACGGGGGCCCGCACAAGCGGUGGAGCAUGUGGUUUAAUUCGAUGCAACGCG
rnacentral:rRNA from 1 species